rnacentral:rRNA from 1 species
AGAGUUUGAUCCUGGCUCAGAUUGAACGCUGGCGGCAGGCCUAACACAUGCAAGUCGAACGCGAAAGCCCCUUCGGGGGUAAGUAGAGUGGCGAACGGGUGAGUAACGCGUAGGAAUCUACCCAAGAGUGGGGGACAACCCGGAGAAAUCCGGGCUAAUACCGCAUACGCCCUACGGGGUAAAGUGGGGGACCUUUAGGGGCCUCACGCUUUUGGAUGAGCCUGCGUCGGAUUAGCUUGUUGGUGAGGUAACGGCUCACCAAGGCGACGAUCCGUAGCUGGUCUGAGAGGAUGACCAGUCACACUGGGACUGAGACACGGCCCAGACUCCUACGGGAGGCAGCAGUGGGGAAUAUUGGACAAUGGGGGAAACCCUGAUCCAGCCAUGCCGCGUGUGUGAAGAAGGCCUUCGGGUUGUAAAGCACUUUCAGUAGGGAAGAAAAGCCUAAGGUUAAUACCUUUGGGUCUUGACGGUACCUACACAAGAAGCACCGGCUAAUUCCGUGCCAGCAGCCGCGGUAAUACGGAAGGUGCAAGCGUUAAUCGGAAUUACUGGGCGUAAA